rnacentral:rRNA from 1 species
AUUGAACGCUGGCGGAAUGCUUUACACAUGCAAGUCGAACGGCAGCAUAGGUGCUUGCACCUGAUGGCGAGUGGCGAACGGGUGAGUAAUACAUCGGAACGUGCCCAGUCGUGGGGGAUAACGUAGCGAAAGUUACGCUAAUACCGCAUACGAUCUACGGAUGAAAGCGGGGGACCGUAAGGCCUCGCGCGAUUGGAGCGGCCGAUAUCAGAUUAGGUAGUUGGUGAGGUAAAGGCUCACCAAGCCAACGAUCUGUAGCUGGUCUGAGAGGACGACCAGCCACACUGGAACUGAGACACGGUCCAGACUCCUACGGGAGGCAGCAGUGGGGAAUUUUGGACAAUGGACGCAAGUCUGAUCCAGCCAUUCCGCGUGCAGGACGAAGGCCUUCGGGUUGUAAACUGCUUUUGUACAGAACGAAAAGGUCUCUAUUAAUACUAGGGGCUCAUGACGGUACUGUAAGAAUAAGCACCGGCUAACUACGUG